rnacentral:tRNA from 1 species
GUAGCUCAGUUGGUAGAGCAAAGGACUGAAAAUCCUUGUGUCGGCGGUUUGAUUCCGUCCCCCUCCACCA